GGGAAUUUUACAUCGAUUUGAAUGCCACUGUUUGUAUUUGCCUUCCCUUAGGAGUUAACUAGAGUCCUUCUAGCAUUGAUUAGCUCUAUCUGGUUUCCUAAUGGAGUAAACACAGGGCCCCUUGAAUAUCGACUGGAAUUUAACAAAUAUACCCCUUACAAUACCAAAAUCGGCCACAGGACAAGGUGUUUACACGCACAGGCCACUUCUGCCUGAACUCCCAGCUGGGAUGCCUUGCGACUUCCCCUUGGGCAGCUGCUGCAGCCCAGCCGCUCUGAAAAGAACUCAUGAAUCAGUGGGACUGUUUAUAGUUUUUCCUUUUUAAUUUUGAGGCAGGAGUGAUUAAUUUGAGCCUCGUUGAGGCAAGGGACAAAUAAGUGCUGAUAAUGGCAAGACCUAAGAAGGGUUGAGUUCCUGCCAGGCCUGGGCCUCCCAGAGUGUCUCUGAACUGGUUGGGCCCACCUGCAGGCUUCUUCCCACACCCAUCCCAAGGACCCCUUUGAGCAGAGACCUCACAACCCUGCCUGGCCAAUGCAUGGAGCUGGGACUGUGUCCUUCAUCCCACCCUCCACCUAAACUUGAAUUUCCGCUGCUGCGAGUCACCAAGGUCCUCUCUACCUGCCCCUCUUCCCAUUGCCUCUGCAUUCAAUCCUUGGGCUGUCCUGGGCCCAUCAUCCAGCCUCUCGUAGCACAGGCCUGCUCUGCCUCUCAGCUGCUUGUUCCAGGCAUAGCCUCCUGAACUCAGGUCCGCUCUCCUAAGAAGACUGCAGCCGAGUUGAGGGGGGCUGAAGGCGAGGGGUCAGUCAGGUGACCCAGGGUGAUCCCUGCUUGGGGCUCAACUGCUUUUAAUCCGCCCCCCCAGGGAAAUUCCAGAAUAGCAAUAAAAUAAACCAGGGGAGAAAAACGAAAGUCCCAGUAGCAACGGAUUGGUUAGACCUCUGGCUUGACUCAUUAAUGAAGUACAGCUGGUCUGGCAGAAAGAGCUCCUGCUCUCUUUUGGGAACCAGCCCCUUACGUCCAUCCUUUCCAAGCAAGACCUCCCUCCCAGGGCCUCCCCAUCUCAUCUGGAGCAGGAGCAAGAUCCGGGGCCAAGCCGCUCAGCGUUCCAGAGGGCACUAAGGUACCGGCAGCCUCCUUCUGAAUAGAGCCUGCAAUAUCUCCAUGAGGACAGCUUACUGUGGAUGACCUCCGUGGCUUUGCUGCAGUAUUGAACCUCAUGGUCACGCAUGUCCUCUCACCUGUACAGUUGCUUUACUGUUUCUCAUCCCCACCUGCUAUAAGCCAGCCAAUAAAGGUUGGGCACUGGAGUCAAGCUUUCUCUGGUUUGCUCUUUCUGUCUCUAAGAAGCCUGGGAGACCCAUGAACUCCAACCCACAGCCAUCCUAGGAAAGUGAGUACAGCAGCUAGCUAGCCCUAAGGACUAUCUUCCCGUGGGCACUGGCCUAUUCAGCAUGUUCUGCAGACGUGCUUUCAGAGGCUGCCAGGUCCUCAGGCUGAAAGAAAAGAAUGAGGGGUCCACCAGGUUGAAAGGGAGUUCAGUGUGGAUCUGCUUCACCAACUUCACAGGAAUCCAUAGCGUCUGCCCCAAAAAUCUACCCAAGAAGGAGGCACAGCAUGCACCCCAGGACUAAGCUGCCGAUGGAGAGGAACCUGUUCACAUAGACCACCACGCCUCCCUCCCUCCUUCCUUUCUCCAACCUCAGAAGCUGUGGAAGCCAGUGGAGCUUCCUGUGGGUAAAAAAUUCAAUCAAUCAACCACCCACCCAACACCCAUGGAGCAUGUCUUUUGUUCAAGUUCUGAGGGGGACACAAAAGAGCAGGCAGGCCACAGCUAUGCUCAUUAAUACGUCAGCUGCUUGGAACUUGGCAUGUAGAGCUGUGUUAUUCACAGCAGAAAGUUUCCUAGGCCAGCCUGCCAAAAAAAAAAAAAAAAAAAAAAAAUCACUACUAAAUGUCCCCGGCAUUCAGUACCAGAAAGGAAGAGUACUCUUGGGCACUCAAGACUGCUGAAGCUCACAUCCUGUCUCCAACACUUGCAGGCUGUGGGCCUGGAUGAGUGACUCCAUCUUGCUAUGCCUCCAUUUUCUUGUCAGUAAAAUGCGAACCAUGAACAUGCUACCAGAUUCUUGUGAGGAUUAAAUGAAUCUGUGCAGUGAGACACUCAGAAGAGCACCAAGUGUUCAAUAAACAGCAAUGAUGGUCUUCAACGUGUCACUGCAAAAGCCAAGCCAUACAGAAUAGAAGGGUGCUGUGGGAAAGCGCCCCUGCCAGGAGGAUGGCCAGUGCUGGAGGCUCCUCCCCACCUUCACCAGCCCCAACUGACUGUGACUUCGGAGCUCAGGGUAGGGCUGGCAGACGAAGAGUCUGGGAAAGACAAGAAAAGCAAAGGGACACCAUGCCCAGGGGAAGGGGCAUGGAGCCAUGGGAGAGGGACUUCCUGAGACUGAACUGCCCAGAGAAACUUCUACUAGGGGCUUUUCACUUCGGGGGCCAAUUGUAGAAAAGAACACAGUGUCCCCAGUCUGACAAACUUGAAAAUACUUUCUGAAAAGGGAACGAGUAUACACUGUUGGUGGGGAUGCAAAUUAGCUCAGCCCCUGUGGAAAGCAGUUUGGAGAUCUCUCAAAGAACUAAAAAUAGAAUUACCAUUUCACCUAGCAAGCGAACUGGGUCUAUAACCAAAGGAAUAGAAAUUACUGGGUAUAUACCCAAAUAAAUAGGAAUCGUUCUGCCAAAAAGACACCUGCGCUUGUAUAUUCAUGGCAGCACAUUCACAAUAGGAAAGAUGUGGAAUCAACCCAGUUGCCCGUUAACAAUGGAUUGGAUAAAGAAAAUGUGGUACAUCUACACCAUGGAAUACUACACAGCUAUUAAAAAGAAGGAAAUUAGAUCCUUUGCAGCAACAUGGAUGCAGCUGGAGGUCACUCUCCGAAGUGAAUUAACAUAGAAACAGAAAACCAGAUACCACAUGUUCUCUCUUGUAACUGGGAGCUAAACAUUGUGUACACAUGAAUACAAAGAAGGGAAAAAUAAACAUUGAGGAUUCCAAAACAGGGGAGAGGUGGAGGGGAGUAAGGGUUGAAAAACUACCUUUUGGGUACUGUGUUCACUAUUUGGGUGAUGGGAUCAUUAGAAGCUUAAACCUGAGCACCAUGCAAUAUACCCAUGUAACAAACCUGCACAUGUACCUCCUGAAUCUGACAUUUAACAAUAAAUACAUUCUAAGAAAAAAGGAAAAUACUUUCCGAGGUUAACUUUUCUUUUUUUCUGCACACCAUGGAGAAACAAAUAAGAUAUUAAAGCG
rnacentral:lncRNA from 1 species